ensembl:lncRNA
UAAAAGCAGUGGAGUACUCAUCUGUCUCAGCUGGAAAUCACCUUAGAAGUCUGAGGAAAAAAAAAAAUAAGGGUUACCUCUGCACACAUCAGUCUCUGCCAGCCAAGAGUGCCACGCAUUAUCACUGAAAGAGGCUGUGUAUGAGGAUAUAUGGGACUAAAAGUUGUACAUAAGAUCUGGUUGCAGUGAAGACCUUGGCAAACGUCCUCUAAAGAACUUUGCUGAUGUGGCUGAAGACAUAGCCAUGGCUGUCCUUGUGCCUUGCCCUUCUUCUGUGACUUGCCUCAUCCCCACAAGCAGG